rnacentral:rRNA from 1 species
AUUGAACGCUGGCGGCAUGCCUUACACAUGCAAGUCGAACGGUAGAAGGGGGCAACCCCUUCGAGAGUGGCGAACGGGUGAGUAAUGCAUCGGAACGUGCCCAGUCGUGGGGGAUAGCCCGGGGAAACCCGGAUUAAUACCGCAUACGACCUGAGGGUGAAAGCGGGGGACCGUAAGGCCUCGCGCGAUUGGAGCGGCCGAUGUCGGAUUAGGUAGUUGGUGGGGUAAAAGCCCACCAAGCCUGCGAUCCGUAGCUGGUCUGAGAGGACGACCAGCCACACUGGGACUGAGACACGGCCCAGACUCCUACGGGAGGCAGCAGUGGGGAAUUUUGGACAAUGGGGGCAACCCUGAUCCAGCCAUGCCGCGUGCGGGAAGAAGGCCUUCGGGUUGUAAACCGCUUUUGUCAGGGAAGAAAUGUCCUGGGCUAAUACCCUGGGGGGAUGACGGUACCGUAAGAAUAAGCACCGGCUAACUACGUG